rnacentral:lncRNA from 1 species
GAAAAUAGAGCCUAACUAUGUUGAAAUCCAUUUUAAACAAAAAUACUGUCUCUUCUUUUCUUCCCCUUAAAGGAAUCCUCAAUUUCUCUCUAUGUUAGAUGCCAUCGACUAUUAAUUUGUUUCUACACACCAGAGGAUAAAAUCAUGGAGGCAAGAACUUAAUGGUAUCGCAAAGAUGAAUAUGAGUGGGUGUCAGAGAACUAAGGCCCUCCAGGGCAGAUGGCCACUACCAUCAAAAAGGAGAGACAUAUCUUCAUAUUUCCUGCAGGAUUUAAAGAAGUGGCCUUGGAGCAGAAGUGGGUGAAAAAACUGAAGUUUCCCAGACAGAAGAAUCAGGAAAUGGAAAGGAAUUAGUGGAGCAGAGUGUGGCUUAGGCUUCCCAACUUUGAGAAGAGGAUCCCAGUGAGGACUUGGACUGCGUAGUGUUGGAGUGUUGCUUACCUCAAAUCAUUGCUGCUAUCUGACACCUGGUGGAAGUAGGAAGUCUUCUUCAGGAAGUCUUACAGCCUUGUUCUAACACCCCAUAUCUCCUCUUCUCUUCCAUGUCUGCUGGUAAGAAGGCUCUGUUGUCUGGUAUUUGCUCUUUAGAGAAUGUGGCAUUUUCUGUGGAAUUGUGGGUGCUGUGUACCACCAAUUUUUCCUGACAGGCUAAGUUGUACUUUUCUUUGCCCUGUUCUCAGUUUCCUAAAACUAAUAGGCCUCUGGCUUCUAGGAUCUUGAAGCUGUCAGUAAUCACAGUGAGGACAGAGAGUGGGAGUAGAAGGUAAUAUGGCCCCGUAUGUUUGUGGGUUCAUAUAUAUGUAUACAAAUGCUUAGGAAAAGGUCUGGAAGGUUAUACAUCAAGUUGAUACCCCUGGAGAGGCAAGAGAAGAACCAAAAUUGAGCCUAUCAAAGCAAAUGUUAGCCUAUUACUUAAGUUUUUGUAAGGAGAAUAUAUUAAGGUAUUGUUAUAUAAUUAAGUUAAUAAUUAAAAUGAAUUUGAAAUUCCAGACCUGAAAAGGAGCAGGGGAAGGAUGAGGCUGCUGUGGUUGGAAUUUCAGAUGAAUCCCAAGGGAUAGGAGUGGGUAAUGAGUCUAAAGUGUAGACUGGUUAGGGGGUUGUAAGAAAUGGAUAACUAGGGAAGGGUCAGAUCAGGAUGGCUUUGAAAGUCAAGCAGAUGAAGUAAGCCUUGCUAUGGUUGGCAUUUUAAUUUCUUGAGCAGAGGAAUGAACCCAUAUAAAAUGUUUGUGGAUGAAGUAAAUAUAUGAUUUAACAAAUGCAUAUUGACUUGAUUUGGGAAAAGAAGUUAGUACGUGAUUAUGUUCAAAUUGUCAACACAUAGUAUGCAACUCAAGCAGAGAAUCUUGGGCUUAAC